CGCGUCUCACACUGCAAUCAACCACUAUCACUUGAAUUUCCACUAGAUGGCACAAGUGCUCCAUGACUAUACAUCCACAAGCCUGGUGUAGGUGUGGCAUAAUCCUGACCACUCCAGCUCUUCUGAGCUCCACAGUAACAUCUGGAUGCAGUAUCUUUUUACUGUCAAAACGUCCACAUGCAGCUGGGGAAUUCUUACUUUUUUUCCCCUGUUACCCUCUUCAUUCCUCAGCAGCCAUGAAAAGAGAAGAGACUUGAAGCCCAGUCCAACUGCAUCCUAAACACCCGUAGCAAAUCACCGCAGCUGCUUUCUCUCAUCGCUCCGGAUUUAUCCGCGUCAUGGAAACAGUGGCUCAAAUGACAACUAAUACAAAUUCAUUCAGUCCAUCCAUAUUGCGAUGUUUUGCUGCCUCAAUUCUUGAAAUUAACACUACACCUUUAGAUAAAUGAGCGAUCUUAUACGUUGUACAUUAGCAGCCAACAGCAAAGAACAUCAAACAAAUAUAAUCAGUAAAAUCUUUAAUAGAUGUGUUGGAGAGUGUGUGGGACAGGGCCAUGUUUAUUUUGUGGCUGGGAAUUCUAUCUAUGAUGUGUACUUCAACAAUUCUUUAAAUUGAUUCCUAGUAAACAUGAGCUAAGUUUAUUAGCUUGUGGCUCUGAAUUUUGGUUACACUCUCACUAGGCUAAAUCUUGCUCCAAAACCCACAACCUUUUUUUCACGAAAAGAUAAAUGCUAAAUUCCUAGUCUGACUAAUAAAAAAAUGAACUUUGCUUUUUAGCCCGAAUAUACUGUACAACAAUUAUGUAACUCAGUUAAGGAAAAGUA